AUUGGCUCAUGGCACAGGCGCCCAUCGGGAACCACCUAGGGGUCCUGGUAUGUACAACAGUUUAGAAUGUGCAAUGUAGCGAACUGUACACGUAUUUCUGACCGUGUUGUUUUACGUAUAUUUUCAGCCCCACGUCUCAGUGAAUGAGUUCACACAACAUCCGUGCUUUCAACAAGGAGAUCUUUCACAGGGGGAAGAGAGAAGAAAUUGGCAGAUGGCUUUUCAGAGCCUACCACGUCAGUGCAGAACGGGCGGCGGUUUGGCGGGUUUGGGCUGGGAGAGGCGACGCCAACGCCGGCGGCACGGAGCGGCCCGCGAGCUGGCGACUCACGGCGCGGUCCCGCGUUGGACGGCGGCCAGGAAACGUUCUCACGCAAUCAAGGGAACGUCCUUCAUUGCAGCGUCGAGGCCGCUAAUUACCCGACGCGCGUCCCGUCCGUUUCCCCCGAACGGGUCCGUUUAGGCAAGGGGGAGUCUUAAAAAAGGGAAGCCGUUGCCAUUGACACCUGCGCUCAAAGCAGCCAAUUAGCGUGAGGUUUGAUUGCUCGCGCAGCUUAAGUGUAAUUAAUCAGAACUCCAGCGCGGCAGAACUAAUCAAUAAAGUUUGAAAUGCCGGGGAGAGCUGAGCACGGAUGUGAUCUAGACGGUGUGCCGCACACAAGCCUGGCAGCCAGUUCCCUUUCAGUUCAGUCAACCCAGGAAAUUCAGUCCAUGAAUUGGAAAUAAUCCUCAUACUUUUCUAUGAGGAUUUUUUUUUUCAAUGAAUACAGCUGAAUUUCAAUUCACCUGAAUUCACCUUCUGAAUUGAAAUGGUUUCCCCCCCCCCCAAGUCCUUGUAGACUAAUCCAUUCAUCUGCCUCCCUUUGCCAAAGUCCAGAUGAGUCAUGGAAAUGUUCUUAUUUAUUUCUGUGGCAGGAGUGUGCGAACACAAUCCCACCUGUCUAAACCCUCUCCGGGAGACACGGUCAGGGGGUACUGACCUUGAUCAGGUCUUCAUACCAGUCCACGGGUGUUGAGUGGGGAGGGGGCAAAGGGUCAUGACCCUUCGAUAAUUACACUGGGGGGCACUUCCUCCUGGAUAUUCUCGACUGUUUUUGGUGAAAUAUGUACUUAUUUAUGUCGAUGUAAUGCUGAAUAGCUUAUGGACGGUGAUGGUAAAUCACUGUCACAUAUAUGAGAGCACCCAAUUAUAGCUAUCUGUGCCUGUCAACACUGUCUUAGAUCAAAUCUGGCUGGCCUAACGUAAGUCUAAACACAUUCGUCGACUUAAGUGAAUCCAGAAUGAACAGACAUUCACCAUUUUUGAGGUGGGCAAGCACUUUUUUUAUGAACUUCCAGAUUUCUUGCCGCAAGCUAGCUAAUUACUUGCAAAUGUAUGGUCAGUGAGGAAAAAAAAGCCUGUGUUGCCUAACAGUGUUUAAAACCACCAUCAUUAGCUGCUAACUGUUUUGUGUUUUAUUUGUGUAAUUCAUAUCCUGUUUGCAUUCUGGAGUGAAUGUCUUGUAUUAUGGGUUAAUGGUAUGUUUAGCUAGCGUUAGCACAGAUAUGAGUCUGUUGUGUUGGGUUUGUUUGUUAGCUAGCUAGCUAUCUACUUUGUGAGCAAGGGUAGGCUGCUUCAUUCAAUGCAGUUCUCUGGUAAUCCAGUCAGUGAAUCGGCUGUCGCAGCAGAAGCAGCUCUCACUCCGGUUUUAUGAUGAAAAAAUGCCACGUACACAGCAAAUCAUGUAACUGUAAAAAUUAUUUGUUGAUCCCUGCCUGUUUUGAUGCCAAAUCAAGGCCUGUGUAAUCAGUCCAAAGGCUGCACCCGCAUCAGAUCACCUGGAUCAAUUACAUAGCUUAAAUACUUUAUCUGUUUAUUUUCUGGCAAAAUUAGUAAGACACUCCUACAGAUCCCUGAAAAUUUUCAGUGAAACAGUUACUAACCAAAAUGUACAGUCAUGUGAAAAGAAUUUUGUUCUGAAUUGAAGAUUAUAUACGUUUUUGUGAAAUUGUGUGUAUAAAAUAUGCUAGAAUCAUGUUGGUGUCUAACGGAUAUUUGUAAAGUGCUUAAAAUAUUUGGCUGGUGAGUGUGCGUGCGUGUGUGCAUGCGUCACGAGCCACGCACUGGAACCCGUGUGUAAGCAGGAUGGGCUGCCCUGUGACAGUGUCCGUGUCCCACAAGGCCCCGGGGUCACAGGCAAGGCUACAGACGUGUAAACGCAGAACACAAAGAGAGCACGCCGCUCGUCAGAGCCCUCCGGCACAUGAUAGACGGCUAUUUUUGGGGUCCUGCACGCUGCCCCCCACAGCCCUUUGUUUGGCCUCCAGGACGUGCAGACUUCAAAAGCGGCACAAACAAAACCGCGAAACCGUGCCAACAGGACCGCUACCGCCACCUCCGCCUCCCCUGAGUCGCGCCGUCUCCCGGCAACCGGGAGGAAGUGCGUCAGCCGCGGCGACAGGCAGCGCAAGUGCGCAAACGUGGGACAGAGAGCAGCCUCAGCUGGGACGGUGACCGUCUUCGCCCUUGAACCCCGGGGACAGGGCGGAGUCUGCGAAAGCCUCUACCCGCCACACGCACCUUUAACUCUCACCCCCCACUCACCCCCCACUCACCCCCUACCCCCCCUCCCCAUUCCAUGAGAGAGGAAACAACACGACAAAGAUCCCACAAUUCCACGGGAGUGUGUGUUUGGUUCUAGCGACUGGACGGUAGAUAUUCGAGGGAAAGAACACGAGAGGGCGAAACACAAACACUAACAGGAUCUGACCGAAAGCAGAGACUAUCAUUAUCCCUUAGCCACUCAUCCUGUGAGCCUGAUGAUAUGGCGGCUGUGGCAGAUGCACUUUCCCUGUUAUUCUCCCGGCCCCACAGUGUGCCUGCACAUAAGCAGGAGGUAUAAUCUGCGUGGGCCUAGAUAACUGGAGAGGCGCAUCCAGUACAAAGCGUAGUGUGUGGGGCAGUGGUGCGUCUAAAACCCUCCCUCAGCAGUUGUUCUGUCCUGGAGACGGCGUGAGCACGCUCAGUAGGCUUCUAAAUGGACACAGCGGGUCUUCCUCAGAAGUCAGUUCUUUAUGCCCUGCCAAAACAGGUAUUAAGUUACAGUAUUUGAAAAUGAAGCUGAAGAAAAGAAUUCAGUCUGCAGUGGAUGGAGGCGCAGCGCUCACGCUCUAAUAGUGUGUGCCAAAUCGGGUGUUUUAGCAGCGUAGGCAUAAAUAAAUAUUUCCUGCACAAUCCCUUGCAUUCCCUACCCACAAUGAUUCCCUAGCUCGUCACUGAACGCCCUGUUCUUUUUCCUAGUUCCCAGUUUAUAUAAAAAUAAAAGGUAAAUAAAUAAAGAAAUAUAUAAU